GUUUAUGACCCAAAAGAUUUGACAUACGAUCACCUGACUGGUUUUCAUACAGAUGCAGUGUUUUUGCAUGAAAUGGAAAUGAUGAUAAAGAAUCAAGGAACAGACAACAGAAGAUCUGAUGAAAAAUCGGGAAAAGUAAAUAAAAUGAAAGAAGAAGAUAAUAGGAAAACAAAACAGACAGAAAAAGAAAACAAUCAAAAGUAACUAAGAUGACCACUGAUUUAAUUGGAAUGUGUAAAUGCACGAGUAUGCCUAUGCAAUGGUGAUGUGGUUACCAUAUCUCCAUGAAAAUAUAGAUAAAUAAACAAAAUAUACCACGUUCGCAUAUACUUAUAGUAUUUUUUAAAUUCCGUAACGUUUUGUUCUU